AGAGGCCCACUCUGACAUCCUGGGGGGUUCCUCCCAAGGGCCAGGAGGGGACUGCCCAGAAAGGGGAACAGAAGGGAAGGAAGCCACCCAGAACCGCCUGACAAGCACCACUGGCAUCGCCUUCAGAGUCGAACACCUCUGAGCCCCAGUGUCACGGAGCCCUGGGGUCUUCACGUCCCUGGAAUCUGAGAAUCAGGCACCUGGUGCCGGGAAGAGACUCUGAGGCCAUCGCGGGCCACUUCAGGCUCCAGACUGGACUCCCCGUCCCCCACAGCCCUAAUGGGGGACUACGGGUCCCUGAGUCUUGAAAUUUCCUUGAGUGAGCAUCCGAAAACAUAGUCCUAGAUGGUACCAGAAGUCCUAGAACAGCACUGCACCCAGCGCUUGCGUCAAUGGGAGAGAUGCUCCCCACCCCGACGGCGGCCAGCCACUUGCCACAGGCCCCCCGAGCAUUUGAAAUGGGGCUGGUGCAAUGGAGGAGGAGCUGAGUCAUUAAACAUGAAGGAUCUGAGGCGCGGCGCCCCCCGGUGAAGUGAAUGCUCCACAGAGGACUCAGAUCGUGUGUUCCUAUGUGCCUCCACUCCCACGGGACCCCAGAGACGGUGACCACGGGCCCCGGUGAGCUGAGUCUUAGAAAGGCCAGGCAGCCAUGCGUGGGCGACAGACCAGCUGAAAGCCAGGCCCAGGUGGUGGAGACACAGGGGCUUAAGACCCACACAUGUCAUCUACGUGGGUCCCGGGCCCACACUCAGGCCAGCCCGGAGUGUCUGAGGCUGCCCUCUACCACAGCCUGACUGCCCCCUCUCACAGCCCACUUAGCCCCAGGCUCCAGACACACCUGCUGGCUGCAGCCCCACCCACCCAGGACCAAGCCACUCCCCACCCUGGAACCGCCUCUCCCGUCCCCAUAACCCCCACCCCAGCGGGCCUCACGCAUGCUGAGGGCACUCCAUCCGCGCCAGGAGGUGUGCCAGGCUGGGUCUGGAGCCGUCUCCCCUCCUGGACCCAGAGCUCCCUUGGGGCGGGCCCUAAUCCCACUGCUGGCGCCUCACACACCCGAGACGCAUCUGAGGGCCGUGUGGAUGCUGUGACAAAGCUCGUGGGGACCAAGCCAGCCCGUCCCACAGGGGAUGGGGUCACUUUGUUAAAGCCUGUGUGUGCACAUACAUGCGUGUGCCCGUGCACGCACUGACACACAUACACGUGUGCACAGCAUGUGUGCACGUGCACUACAGGACACACCAGGGUGCAUGUGCACAUGUCUAUGUGCACACACGUGUCCGAACACCUAUGUAUGUGGUGUGGGUAGGGGCUCCCGGCCUCCUGGCCUUCCUCCUGGGAUUAGCCAUGGGGACAGAACACAAGGCUGGUGAGGCAGCACGCAUUCUUCUGGGACAGCUGGAGAGAAAACAGUGUCGGAUGUCAGCUCCUCACAGAACGGAACCCCUGACCCUUCCAAGGGGGUGCUGUCCAAGACGUGCAGGUAACCAAGGUCCCGAGAUGCUGGGGUACUCACGCCUUCACACGCUCAACCCCCAGCCCAAAUUCCCCUCCCUGGAGACUCCCCACACUCCCUUCUAGAAACUUCCCUGUGGUGGGCCUUGAGGCUGGCAGAGAGGUCAGGGUCUGAAUCUCCCCUGCCCUCCAGGCAGUGACCCGCCCUUACCCUGUCUCUUCCCAGAACAGGACUGGGAGCCCCCGGGCCAGGGCCACCGGGCUCCUAGGGCUGCAGCCCUGACCGCCACCCGCCGCUCUCUGCCUGUGGCCAGUGGACAUUCCCGAGGUCUGGGGAGGUGGUGGACGGGGCCUGGGCCCUGGACUCAGCCCCCCAGGCAGACUCCAGCGAGCUCCCCAGGACAGUGUGGCGGUUCCCAGCAGGGAUGCUGCAGUCGCAGGGCCAGGGUGCAAACCCCAGGGCCUCUUGAUGCGGACACUUCAAAGGAAGUGCCAAACCUGGUCUGUCGUCCAGUGGCCCUGAGCAGGCCCCCCAGAGGUGAGGGGAAGACCCCUGGGGGCAGAUCCUGCCGGUUCCGCUUGCCACCCACCCACCUGCCCAGCCUCCGGCCCUGCCCGCCACAGAAGGGCUGGAAAGGCGUCCGCCCGCCCGCCAACAGGGAGGAGAGCCUGGGCGCAGAACCCCUCAGCCGCCCCCCGGAGGGGAGACGUCGCAGAGCAGCUCUGAGCCUCGGAAGAGAACAGCCCCCCGGGUUACGGG